GAUGAACGCUGGCGGCGUGCCUAAUACAUGCAAGUCGAGCGAACAGAUGAGGAGCUUGCUCCUCUGACGUUAGCGGCGGACGGGUGAGUAACACGUGGAUAACCUACCUAUAAGACUGGGAUAACUUCGGGAAACCGGAGCUAAUACCGGAUAAUAUAUUGAACCGCAUGGUUCAAUAGCGAAAGACGGUUUUGCUGUCACUUAUAGAUGGAUCCGCGCCGCAUUAGCUAGUUGGUAAGGUAACGGCUUACCAAGGCAACGAUGCGUAGCCGACCUGAGAGGGUGAUCGGCCACACUGGAACUGAGACACGGUCCAGACUCCUACGGGAGGCAGCAAUAGGGAAUCUUCCGCAAUGGGCGAAAGCCUGACGGAGCAACGCCGCGUGAGUGAUGAAGGUCUUCGGAUCGUAAAACUCUGUUAUUAGGGAAGAACAAAUGUGUAAGUAACUAUGCACGUCUUGACGGUACCUAAUCAGAAAGCCACGGCUAACUACGUG
rnacentral:rRNA from 1 species